GUGCUCGCUUGGGCAGCACAUAUACUAAAAUUGGAACGAUACAGAGAAGAUUCGCAUGGCCCCUCUGCAAGGAUGACAUGCAAAUUCGUGAAGCAUUCCAUAUUUAA
ensembl:snRNA U6 U6 spliceosomal RNA